rnacentral:rRNA from 1 species
AUUGAACGCUGGCGGCAGGCUUAACACAUGCAAGUCGAGCGGAGUGAUGGUGCUUGCACUAUCACUUAGCGGCGGACGGGUGAGUAAUGCUUAGGAAUCUGCCUAUUAGUGGGGGACAACAUCUCGAAAGGGAUGCUAAUACCGCAUACGUCCUACGGGAGAAAGCAGGGGAUCACUUGUGACCUUGCGCUAAUAGAUGAGCUCAAGUCGGAUUAGCUAGUUGGUGGGGUAAAGGCCUACCAGGGCGACGAUCUGCGGCGGGUCUGAGAGGAUGAUCCGCCACACUGGGACUGAGCCACGGCCCAGACUCCUUCGGGAGGCAGCAGUGGGGAAUAUUGGACAAUGGGGGGAACCCUGAUCCAGCCAUGCCGCGUGUGUGAAGAAGGCCUUAUGGUUGUAAAGCACUUUAAGCGAGGAGGAGGCUCUUUUGGUUAAUACCCAAGAUGAGUGGACGUUACUCGCAGAAUAAGCACCGGCUAACUCUGUGCCAGCAGCCGCCGUAAGAC